rnacentral:rRNA from 1 species
CCUACGGGAGGCAGCAGUAGGGAAUUUUUCACAAUGGGCGAAGGCCUGAUGGAGCAACGCCGCGUGCAGGAGGAAGGCCUUCGGGUUGUAAACUGCUUUUAUGAGUGACGAUUAUGACGGUAGCUCAUGAAUAAGGGUCUGCUAACUACGUGCCAGCAGCCGCGGUAAU